AAGGAUCAUUAUCGUGGGGCUCCGGCCCCUUCGAGAGAUCACCCUUGCCUUUUCGAGCACCUGUUUGUUGCCUCGGCAGGCGCGCCUGCCGAUGGACACCCCUUAAACUCUUGCAAUAACCUGUGCAAAAUCGUCUGAACAAAACAAAACCUAAAUCAAAACUUUCAACAACGGAUCUCUUGGUUCUG
rnacentral:misc_RNA from 1 species